UCGACCCGAAAUGUCGCCCAUUCCUUCUCUCCAGAGAUGCUGCCUCACCUGCUGAGUUACUCCAGCAUUUUGUGUCAACCUUUGGUAUAUAUUUAUUUAUCUACUCUUCUCUCUCUAAUUUUUGGUCAGAGUGCAGUUUUGAGACCAAAUUCAAGCAAUCAAUGUUCUUGUAUCAGUUGGUUUUCAAAGCCUUCUGCCAUCAGAAAUUGGUUUAAUUAGUGGAUUUUGGUGGAUAAAAUGCAACGUUGGGAGGAAGAUAUUGGGUAUGAGAGCUUUUAGAGGAAAGCCACAGACCCAACUUGCAUAUUUAAAUGAAAGGAAAAUCCAGAUAUAUUGAAAUAACAUUCAAUGUAAUUCCUGGGUAUAUGGAAUUAAUGGUGUAUCAUACUUUAAAACUCAGCUAAUUGAGCGGUGUGCAUGUCUUGCAUUUCUUCCACACACUCAUUGUGCUUAAUUUGCUCAUCAACUCUGAAUUCCAUGCUGAUAUUGAGGGUGGUGCUGGUCUUUCGAUGAAAUAUUUAACUUAUAAAGACUGCUUACUUGGUGGAAGUGAAAAAAUGUACACAAUGCAAGUAGUGGAAAGAAGUGACCCAAAAUGGGCAAAGAUGCAAUGUUGCCUAUUAUGCUGAUUGUUUGCUGUAUUUUCAAGUUUCCUUUCAGGCUUCCAAUCCCUGAAAAUAUAUUUGAAUUUG